rnacentral:rRNA from 1 species
AUUGAACGCUGGCGGCAUGCCUUACACAUGCAAGUCGAACGGCAGCACGGGUGCUUGCCCCUGGUGGCGAGUGGCGAACGGGUGAGUAAUACAUCGGAACAUGUCCUGUAGUGGGGGAUAGCCCGGCGAAAGCCGGAUUAAUACCGCAUACGAUCUACGGAUGAAAGCGGGGGACCUUCGGGCCUCGCGCUAUAGGGUUGGCCGAUGGCUGAUUAGCUAGUUGGUGGGGUAAAGGCCUACCAAGGCGACGAUCAGUAGCUGGUCUGAGAGGACGACCAGCCACACUGGGACUGAGACACGGCCCAGACUCCUACGGGAGGCAGCAGUGGGGAAUUUUGGACAAUGGGCGAAAGCCUGAUCCAGCAAUGCCGCGUGUGUGAAGAAGGCCUCCGGGUUGUAAAGCACUUUUGUCCGGAAAGAAAUCCUUGGCCCUAAUACGGUCGGGGGAUGACGGUACCGGAAGAAUAAGCACCGGCUAACUACGUG